GGGAUUGCCUCAGUAACGGCGAGUGAAGCGGCAACAGCUCAAAUUUGAAAUCUGGCUCCUCUCGGGGUCCGAGUUGUAAUUUGUAGAGAGUGUUUCGGGGGAGACCGCGGUCUAAGUCCAUUGGAACAUGGCGUCAUAGAGGGUGAGAAUCCCGUCUGUGACCGCGGAUCGAGCCCAUGUGAAGCCUCUUCGACGAGUCGAGUUGUUUGGGAAUGCAGCUCAAAAUGGGUGGUAAAUUUCAUCUAAAGCUAAAUACUGGCUGGAGACCGAUAGCGCACAAGUAGAGUGAUCGAAAGAUGAAAAGCACUUUGGAAAGAGAGUUAAACAGUACGUGAAAUUGUUGAAAGGGAAGCGCUUGCGACCAGACCUGCCCGUGGGCGAUCAGCCGCUGUUCUCAGCGGUGCACUCGUUCCACGAUCAGGCCAGCAUCGGUUUCGGCGGUCGGAUAAAGGCCUUGGGAAUGUAGCUUCCCUUCGGGGGAGUCUUAUAGCCCUCGGUGCAAUGCGGCCAGCCGGGACCGAGGACCGCGCUUCGGCUAGGAUGCUGGCGUAAUGGUCGUAAGCGACCCGUCUUGAAACACGGACCAAGGAGUCUAACAUCUAUGCGAGUGUUUGGGUGUCAAACCCAUGCGCGGAAUGAAAGUGAACGGAGGUGAGAACCCUUAAGGGCGCAUCAUCGACCGAUCCAGAUGUCUUCGGAUGGAUUUGAGUAUGAGCAUAGCUGUUGGGACCCGGUAUGUCUUUUACCCCUGCAACUCCCCUAUUGUACGAAAUGCUAACAGUUUGAUUUUAGAAAGAUGGUGAACUAUGCCUGAAUAGGGUGAAGCCAGAGGAAACUCUGGUGGAGGCUCGCAGCGGUUCUGACGUGCAAAUCGAUCGUCAAAUUUGGGUAUAGGGGUUAGUUUUUGAAUUGUUUCUGUUACAACUUGAUAUAAUAAUACUAACUUUGUUCUAGGCGAAAGACUAAUC
rnacentral:rRNA from 1 species